rnacentral:rRNA from 1 species
AAUAGAUACCCAGGUAGUCCGCGCCGUAAACGUUGGGCGCUAGGUGUGGGGGCCAUUCCACGGUCUCCGUGCCGCAGCUAACGCAUUAAGCGCCCCGCCUGGGGAGUACGGCCGCAAGGCUAAAACUCAAAGGAAUUGACGGGGGCCCGCACAAGCGGCGGAGCAUGUUGCUUAAUUCGAUGCAACGCGAAGAACCUUACCUAGGCUUGACAUGCACGGAAAUCUCGCAGAGAUGCGGGGUCCGUAAGGGCCGUGCACAGGUGGUGCAUGGUUGUCGUCAGCUCGUGUCGUGAGAUGUUGGGUUAAGUCCCGCAACGAGCGCAACCCUCGUUCCAUGUUGCCAGCACGUGAUGGUGGGGACUCAUGGGAGACUGCCGGGGUCAACUCGGAGGAAGGUGGGGAUGACGUCAAAUCAUCAUGCCCCGUUAUGUCUAGGGCUGCAAACAUGCUACAAUGGCCGGUACAAAGGGCUGCGAUACCGUGAGGUGGAGCGAAUCCCAAAAAGCCGGUCUCAGUUCGGAUUGGGGU